rnacentral:rRNA from 1 species
GCGCAACGUUGUCCGGAAUUAUUGGGCGUAAAGAGCUCGUAGGCGGUUUGUCGCGUCUGCUGUGAAAGCCCGGGGCUCAACCCCGGGUGUKCAYYUKGGUACGGGACAGGCUGGAGUGCAGUAGGGGAGACUGGAAUUCCUGGUGUAGCGGUGRAAUGCGCAGAUAUCAGGAGGAACACCGAUGGCGAAGGCAGGUCUCUGGGCUGUUACUGACGCUGAGGAGCGAAAGCAUGGGGAGCGAACAGGAUUAGAUACCCUGGUAGUCCAUGCCGUAAACGUUGGGCACUAGGUGUGGGGGACAUUCCACGUUUUCCGCGCCGUAGCUAACGCAUUAAGUGCCCCGCCUGGGGAGUACGGCCGCAAGGUAAAAACUCAAAGGAAUUGACGGGGGCCCGCACAAGCGGCGGAGCAUGCGGAUUAAUUCGAAUGCAACGCGAAAGAACCUUUACCCAAAGGCUUUGACAAUACAACCCGGGAUUCGCGAGCAAGAAGAUUGUUUGGUUUUCCCUUCGGGGGCUGGUGUACAGGGUGGUGCAUGGUUGUCGUCAGCUCGUGUCGUGAGAUGUUGGGUUAAGUCCCGCAACGAGCGCAACCCUCGUUCUAUGUUGCCAGCACGUUGUGGUGGGGACUCAUAGGAGACUGCCGGGGUCAACUCGGAGGAAGGUGGGGAUGACGUCAAAUCAUCAUGCCCCUUAUGUCUUGGGCUUCACGCAUGCUACAAUGGCCGGUACAAUGGGUUGCGAUACUGUGAGGUGGAGCUAAUCCCAAAAAGCCGGUCUCAGUUCGGAUUGGGGUCUGCAACUCGACCCCAUGAAGUCGGAGUCGCUAGUAAUCGCAGAUCAGCAACGCUGCGGUGAAUAC